AUUGAACGCUGGCGGCAGGCCUAACACAUGCCAGUCGAGCGGAGCGGCGGACGGGUUAGUAAUGCCUGGGAAUCUGCCUGGCAGUGGGGGAUAACGUCCGGAAACGGGCGCCAAUACCGCAUACUAUCAGAUGAGCCUAGGUCGGACUAGCUAGUUGGUGGGGUAAAGGCCUAACAAGGCAACAAUCCGUAACUGGUCUGAGAGGAUGAUCAGUCACACUGGAACUGACACACGGUCCACACUCCUACGGGAGGCAGCAGUGGGGAAUAUUGGACAAUUGGCGAAAGCCUGAUCCAGCCAUGCCGCGUGUGUGACGAAGGGCUUCGGAUUGUAAAGCACUUUAACUUGGAAGGCGUUACCAACAGAAUAAGCACCGACUCACAACGUGCCAGCAGCCGCGGUCAUUC
rnacentral:rRNA from 1 species